rnacentral:tRNA from 2 species
GGGCGGAUGGCGAAAUGGUAGACGCACUAGCUUUAGGAGCUAGCGGAGCAAUCCAUGGAGGUUCGAGUCCUCUUCCGCCCACCA